GGGGGCCGGCGCAAGCAGGAACGGGAGGAGAGCGCGCGCGAGCCCAAGGAAAGGAGAAACAAUGGCUAGGAGAAACCAUCUGGAAACUAAGGCUGGAACGGCCUGCCCGGGUCCCGCCCAGACCUGAGCUGGCUGAGCAAUGCAGCAGGCUGAGGAGGGCUUAGAACAACACCUGGCCAUAUUAAUUGGAAGAAAGAAAUGGAGGGUGAGAAGAUCAAAAGAGAACCAGACACAGAAGGAACUAAGAACCGGAAUGGCAGCCGAGCCACCAAAGCAGCUGACCAAGGACAUAUUGAUUUGUCCUGGGCUCCUUGCUGCCAUCUGAGCCAGCCACACAAGAAGAUAAAGACUCCAAAGAACUCACCCACGGCAAUCCAUCCUGCUUAAGCCUCCCACGGCCAGGUCCACAGUUCUCUGGAUAAUCUGCCAACUCUGCCCUUUUCAACCAAGCCUGACCAUCACUCACAGGGGAGUCAUGGUUCAGAGCACGAGAUCUGGAGUCAGCCGUCCUGCGUCAGGCCCAAGGCUCACUGAGUCAAAGGCUGUUUGCAAAUUUGCACAUUGGUUUGUGAUGCCCCCAAGCUGCCUCCUAAAAAGGCUGAACACAAUGCUGUUGACAUGUCCCACCAAUGUACAAGACCAUGCACAUCCCACAUCUUUUCCAAUCUUUUGGAAUAAACAAGCAAGAAAAGCUGUAUUAUUCUGCUUGC